rnacentral:rRNA from 1 species
AUUAACGCUGGCGGCGUGCCUAAUACAUGCAAGUCGAGCGAACAGACGAGGAGCUUGCUCCUCUGACGUUAGCGGCGGACGGGUGAGUAACACGUGGAUAACCUACCUAUAAGACUGGGAUAACUUCGGGAAACCGGAGCUAAUACCGGAUAAUAUAUUGAACCGCAUGGUUCAAUAGUGAAAGACGGUUUUGCUGUCACUUAUAGAUGGAUCCGCGCCGCAUUAGCUAGUUGGUAAGGUAACGGCCUACCAAGGCGACGAUGCGUAGCCGACCUGAGAGGGUGAUCGGCCACACUGGAACUGAGACACGGUCCAGACUCCUACGGGAGGCAGCAGUAGGGAAUCUUCCGCAAUGGGCGAAAGCCUGACGGAGCAACGCCGCGUGAGUGAUGAAGGUCUUCGGAUCGUAAAACUCUGUUAUUAGGGAAGAACAAAUGUGUAAGUAACUAUGCACGUCUUGACGGUACCUAAUCAGAAAGCCACGGCUAACUACGUG